UAAAAAAUCAGGUAUUGAUAGUCUCUCAUCUCUCUCUAGAAGGCAUUGAGGCAAAAUUACGCUUUGGGGGGGGAACAAAAAGACAAUAAAAUGAAAUUGGCAAUAAAAUUAUCUAGAAUCUUAACAAUGACAUUUGAAUACAGCCAGAUUACAGUAAAUUAAGAAAAUAAAAUUCAGAACAUGGUGUUGCUGUUGAGAUGUAUUCUGCACACAACUAGACUGCUUGUGUCUUUAUUGGCCGUCACGACUUUACAGCAACACAUGGUGACCCUCAGCGUGAUACUGCAAGCGACCACUGGGCGACGGGUGGUGGUGACAGAGCUUGGCAUAGCUGAGAGCAGCGGGGACGCUGCCUGGUCCGGACCUGAGAGCUAUUGACACCUGGAAAAGUUGUGUUCCCAGGACAGAGGACCGGGAGAGGCAUGCUGGAGGAUUUGGAUCUACAGGACCUCCACAAGUAUUUUGGUCACAGACUGUCUCCCACAAAUGUCCACAGAUGGUUUGUGAACUGCGCAAUGGAAAAGGCUUGCCUUCUGCUGUUAAGGGGUUAUGCUUGUGUUUCUACAGAUGCUGGACUGUGGUGGGUUCCUGCUUGGUGUGUGCAUCCUGUUUUGUCUCGGGGGAACAAUCAGUGAUGACUCCUACACGGAACAGCUCAAACGACUCAUGCAGCCACAAUGUCUGCAUGAUCCUGAUGAAAGCAAGGAACCAAACCACCUUCUGUGCCUCCUUGGUGAAACCAGAGCUGCCUUUUCAUACGUGCCUUACUGGGGCACCUGUAAAUGGCACUGAUGUAGUGAAACUUGUUUCUAACGUCACACGCUUACCCAAUUUGGCAACAAAGGCUUGUAAUGCUUCUGUGCAGAGCUGCAUUGCAAAUGUAAAUGAUUGGCUUGUUAAGCUACCAGUAGGCAUUGCACCACAGAAGUUAGAUAUUUUGGGUACCUUAACUGCUACUGCUUGCUUUUAUUUUGAUUCUACAGGUACAACAUUACUAGCCAAUAAAUACCAUAAGGGACAUGGUAUUCUGUGACAGCUUCUGCUGUCACAGAAACCCUUUUGCAAGACCUGUCUCCAGAUAUGCCUUUUUACCAGAAUGCAUCUGUUUGGUGUUUGUACACACAUAAGUGACCCUCACCUGGUGUAACAGUUGCUCGUCAACUUCCAAAAGGAUACUUUUUUAUUUGUGGCAAUCGGGCAUGGCCAGGUAUUCCAGCAAUGUCUGUUGGGGGACCCUGUACCUUUGGUAAACUAGGUUUGCUUACCCCCACAGAAGAGAUUUUAUUGAAUCAUUUCCAUCUCUACAGUCAUGUUUUGACCAAAUGGUCACUGGCCCUUGACUCUACAUGUCAGGACACGUUAACUUUGUGGGGUCAGGCAUCUAUGGUAUCUACUUCUUUUUUUGCCACAAGUUGCCUCAGCAGAAGUGUUAAAGCAAAUCAACGCCUUGGCGUGCUGGGUAACCAAACAAGCAAAUUUGAUCUCAGAUACUUUAUACAAACUUGCCACUGAUGUAGAUAGUGUCCGUCAUGCAGAAUCGCACUGCCAUUGAUUUUUUGCUACUCACACAUGGACAUGGUUGUCAGGAAUUAGAAGGCAUGUGGUUUUUAAAUAUUUCUAAUCACUCUGAAUCCAUUUACAAACAAAUUGCCACACUUCAGGAACAGACAAACAAGAUCAAACAGGAAACUCUUUUUUUUUGGCCUGGAAGGCUGGUUGUCUAGUUGGGGCAUUUCAGGAUGGUUACUGUCCUUGCUCAAGACACAGGUCUUAGUUUUGGUGAUAGUCAUGGUUGUGCUUGUAAUGUUGCCGUGUUUUGUGUCGUGUUUGCAAAGGGCCCUGCAAAGAAUGACACAGGCAAUUUUUCUAGCACAAUUACAGAAAAGGGGAAUUAUAGGGGUUAAUAGUGGGUCUAUUAGCUUCCUGGAUGAAGAUAUUGACUUGACAAAUUUUGGGUGUAUCCCUGAAGAUAAGGAAGCCAGUACGCAGCCCUAAUGGAGGAUCAAAGACAGACUGUAAAGUCAGUAGGCCCAGGAUGUGGGAACCACAAAAAGGCCUUGAGCUUUGCCAAAUGUAUCAGCAAUAAAUCAUAGCCAAUUAAAAUGCUGUUGCUUGCUAAGUUUGCUGCUUGCUGCUAUCAAAGUAUAUAAAAACGGCAGAUGAGAAAAUAAAGAGAGACAUAUUCUGGACACAA